rnacentral:lncRNA from 1 species
AAGGAAGUUGACAUGUCAUCACUUCAUUUUUUUGCGCCUGCGCAUAAAUCUGAGAAACGUGAGUUUUGUCUUCAUUGUUUAUCUCGACAUAGGAUAGGUUGUGUGAAAAUAUUACUGAUGUUUAACGUUAAAAAUGGACCAAAAGAUUAAUGCUAAACAACAUUUGACAUGUUUGAACGAACAUAAAUAGAUUAUUUACUAGGUUUUUUAGCUUUUCGGCGUGAUUUUACAGUCCCCCCACCACGUUUUGUGGGAGCAUAAUGAACGCUAAGUACUUGGUGUUAUUUGGACAUAAAUUAUGAACUUUGUCAAAAGAAACCACAUUUGUUCCGGACCUGGGAUGCCUUCCGGACCUGGGAUGCCUGUCUUCUGAUGGAGAUAAUCAAAGUACAGCGGGAAUGGAGAAAGGGCCGGACAAGUGGGGGCAUGAAGACAAGACCCCCGACAACAACAAAAAAUGCUCUCAUUGUCAACGCCAGGAUCUAUUUGCAUAAUUUAUUAUGAUUCACAAGAUUCACUGAAGAACCUUCACCCCCCUGUGUGAGAGGUCGAUUUUCAAAUGGAUCACGUGAACCUUGGAAUUGAGGGCCUUGAAAUGUGCUGAGAUCUUAUGGGCCAUCACAUCAUGUCAGAUGGAAGAGAUUCAUUUGAUCUGCCAGCGCAAUGACUCACACACAUGACUCAUAUCUCCAGAUACCUCAGAAGUAAGCUGGCCAUGUACAGUACAUGUUGUCUCCCCGGCUACGUUUGGUCAGUUUAAACAUGCACAACGGAACCACAGACCACAAACUCUAAAGACAAGAAGUCUUUACUGCUGCUGCACCACGUACAGAUUUAGGUUAAACAGUGUUUUGUUUUUAACACACUUUCCUUAUGGAACACUUCAGAAUAUUCUACAGUUGGAUGGACUGGUGUCUUUCAGGCCAUUCAGAAUAUUCUACAGUUGGAUGGACUGGUGUCUUUCAGGCCAUUCAGAAUAUUCUACAGUUGGAUGGACUGGUGUCUUUCAGGCCAUUCAGAAUAUUCUACAGUUGGAUGGACUGGUGUCUUUCAGGCCAUUCAGAUGGUUGGUUGAGGACUUCUUUGCUGAGGGAUAUGGUUGUUUUUUAUGUUCGUGUUUAGUAUGUUUUGUAUGUCUUGUGUAUUUCCUACUCUCCCAUUCUGCCUUAAUUGUGUAAUUGUUUGUCAUGCAGGGCUCCCUUGUAAACGACACCUCGCUCCUAACCCUAACCCUAAACAAAGCCUAGCUCCUAACCCUAACCCUAAACUAACCCUAGCUCCUAACCCUAACCCUAAACUAACCCUAGCUCUUAACCCUAACCCUAAAAUUAACCCUAGCUCCUAACCCUAACCCUAAACUAACCCUAGCUCCUAACCCUAACCCUAAAACUAACCCUAGCUCCUAACCCUAACCCUAAACCUAGCUCCUAACCCUAACCCUAAACUAACCCUAGCUCCUAACCCUAACCCUAAACUAACCCUAGCUCCUAACUCUAACCCUAGCUCCUAACCCUAACCCUAAAGCUAACCCUAACUCCUAACCCUAACCCUGAACCUCACCCUAGCUCCUAACCCUAACCCUAAAAGUAACCCUAGCUCCUAACCCUAACCCUUAACGUAAUUCUAACCUUAACACUAAUUCUAACCUUAACCCUAAACUCCCUAGAAAUAGCAUAUGACCUCAUAGGGGAGUAACAACAUUUCACCCGUUGGUCAAAUGUUUGUUUGUUUACUAUUCUUUUGGGGACUUCUGGUCCCCUCAAGAAUAGUUCAAUGUUCACACACGCAGACACCAUCUAUACUGCAUGCAGAGAUUACUGUACAGAACAAAGCAAUGUUUAUAGUGUCGGCAAAAUAUCUGCACUGUAAAUUAAAUCACACUCUACUGCUAAUGUAAAUUAUAUUGUGUACUUAUCUGAGUUUUGAUUGGAUAUGGGCUUUAGUAACGUUGCCUAAUCAAAACGAAUUUACAUUCUAAACCACACCAAAACAUUUAUGUAAAAUUAAUAUUCUGUACAAUUAGGAUACAAUAAAUUCUAUAUCUUAUAUGGUCUAACUAAGACUGGCUUAAUGACUCAGACUUGUCUUACUAAGACUGGCUUAAUGAAUCAGACUUGUCUUACUAAGACUGGCUUAAUGAAUCAGACUUGUCUUACUAAGACUGGCUUAAUGAAUCAGACUUGUCUUACUAAGACUGGCUUAAUGACUCAGACUUGUCUUACUAAGACUGGCUUAAUGAAUCAGACUUGUCUUACUAAGACUGGCUUAAUGAAUCAGACUUGUCUUACUAAGACUGGCUUAAUAAAUCAGACGCGUCUUACCAAGACUGGCUUAAUGAAUCAGCCUCUACAUUUCAAUGAAUGACUGUUACCCUGCAAACACUGACUUUCUGACUGUCAAAUCAUUUAUACAGUAAAAGUGUGAGGGAAACACAUAGUUAUUUUACUCUUACUUCUACAAUAACAAACAAUGAUACAGAGAAGCUUCUUUGCUCCUGGUGUGUGUGUGUGUGUGUGUGUGUGUGUGUGUGUGUGUGUGUGUGUGUGUGUGUGUGUGUGUGUGUGUGUGUGUGUGUGUGUAGAGAUUUUGGAGGAGCAGGGAUGGGGGAGACUGAUCAGGGAGGAGGAUCGGAGAGAGAGGGUAGCGCCCUGGGAUUCUCUACUGACAGGAAGCAGAAAUUGGAAUAUGGUCCCUCCUGUUGUCGCUGGAGACUCCGGCGGGCGGUGUGGCGGGUGCUGCUGCGGGGUGUGACGAGGGUGUUUGCCAUAUGCUCAACCCUCCCGGUGUCCCAGGGAAGUCAAAGUGUAAAAUGAACCCCCUUCCAAUAUGUUCAAAUCCCCCCAUAUGAAAAUGUGACUGUAAAAGACAGACUUCUUACCCCGGCCAAUUUUAGAUCAAAGCCAAUUGGAGCAGGGAGCAAGAGGCAGGAUGGAAGCGAAAGAGAGAGGGAAGGGGAGUUAUGUAUGAAAUACAAAAGGAAGUUGUAGUUCUACAAUACGAUGAGCGACUAGAGAGAUGUUAUGAUCGAGAGAAAAUCCUCUAAUGAUGACAAACAUCCAUUCUACAUUACCACAGUUACUAGAUCUCUGGCGUCUAAAAGAGAACGUACACUACAAAUACUGUAACUUCCUGCUAGCUUCCUGCUUGGUAAAACAGGGAUGUGUGUUUUCUAAGCCACCUGAGACUGCCUGGUUUCCUCGGUGUCUGAGGUAUAG